UGACUCCUUGAGAGUCCUGAGGGAACGUUGAAGACGACGACGUUGAUAGGCCGGGUGUGUAAGCGCAGCGAUGCGUUGAGCUAACCGGUACUAAUGAACCGUGAGGCUUAACCUUACAACGCCGAAGGUGUUU
rnacentral:rRNA from 1 species